rnacentral:rRNA from 1 species
AAGCGCUUUGAUUGGAUUCUUCGGAUGAAGAUAAUUGUGACUGCGCGGCGGACGGGUGAGUAACGCGUGGGCAACCUGCCUUACACAGGGGGGAUAACAGUUAGAAAUGACUGCUAAUACCGCAUAAGACCGCGGAACCGCAUGGUUCUGAGGUAAAAACUCCGGUGGUGUAAGAUGGGCCCGCGUCUGAUUAGGUAGUUGGUGAGGUAACGGCUCACCAAGCCGACGAUCAGUAGCCGACCUGAGAGGGUGACCGGCCACAUUGGGACUGAGACACGGCCCAGACUCCUACGGGAGGCAGCAGUGGGGAAUAUUGCACAAUGGGGGAAACCCUGAUGCAGCGACGCCGCGUGAGCGAUGAAGUAUUUCGGUAUGUAAAGCUCUAUCAGCAGGGAAGAAAAUGACGGUACCUGACUAAGAAGCCCCGGCUAACUACGUGCCAGCAGCCGCGGUAAUACGUAGGGGGCAAGCGUUAUCCGGAUUUACUGGGUGUAAAGGGAGCGUAGACGGUCCUGCAAGCCAGAUGUGAAAGCCCGGGGCUCAACCCCGGGACUGCAUUUGGAACUGUAAGGCUAGAGUGUCGGAGAGGCAGGCGGAAUUCCUAGUGUA